rnacentral:rRNA from 1 species
AGUAACACGUAAACAACCUGCCUUCAGGAUGGGGACAACAGACGGAAACGACUGCUAAUACCGAAUAAGUUCCAAGGGCCGCAUGGCCCAUGGAAGAAAAGGUGGCCUCUACCUGUAAGCUAUCGCCUGAAGAGGGGUUUGCGUCUGAUUAGCUGGUUGGAGGGGUAACGGCCCACCAAGGCGACGAUCAGUAGCCGGACUGAGAGGUUGACCGGCCACAUUGGGACUGAGAUACGGCCCAG